AUUCCCAACAUCUUCAAAAGGGAUGCCUUCCUCUUUUCAUAAUCUGAUAGAAAUUAAUAUAGAGAAUAAUGAGGAUGUUGGAAGGACUAUUAUUCCAUCUAAUGCGCUGCUACAAUUGGAAAAGCUUCAACAGAUUACUAUACAAGGAUCAUGUGGUGGGCUAGAAGAGGUAUUUGAAGUAGUAGUAGUGGAAGGGAGUGGUUCCAGUGAAUCAAAAACUCUUGUCCCAAUUCCAAACCUAACACAAGUGAAGUUAGAUGGUGUAUAUGAUCUAAAGUAUUUAUGGAAGAGCAACCAAUGGAUGGUAUUGGAGUUUCCAAACCUAACAACUCUCUCUAUUGAAUGGUGUUGUAGUUUGAAACAUGUUUUUACAUGUUCCAUGGUUGGUAGUCUUGUGCAACUCCAAGAACUACAUAUAAGUGUCUGCUUCGAUAUGGAGGUAAUUGUGAAGGAAGAUGAAGAAGAAGAAGAAUGUGAUGCCAAAGUGAAUGAGAUUAUCUUACCUCGUCUAAACUCCUUAAAACUACAUGACCUUCCAACACUCAAGGGAUUUUGCUUAGGGAAGAAGGCUUUCUCACUGCCAGCUUUGGAUACUUUACAAAUCAAAAACUGCUCACAUAUUAAAGUUUUCACCAAGGGACACUUGUCUACCCCUCAUCUGAAAGUAAUAGAUACAGAUUUUGGGAUAUGUGAUGUAAGGACAGAUGUCAACUCCUUUAUAGAGACCAAACUAGAAGAGGGGCGUAAAUUUUCUGCAAGGGCAUAAAUUCUAGAACGUGAAGAUCAUAUCAUAUGUUUAAUGUAUAAGGUUUUAAGGUUUGAUUUAGGGUUUUAGAAGCUUGGUUCAAUUUGCAAAUUGUUUGAUUCGGUUUGGUUGACUUUGAUGCGGGUCCAAGUGUGGAGGAGCGGGCACUAAAAUGGCUCUAACUUGGGCUACGAGGGUCCGUUUUAGGCGUCCUGGCCAAAAAACGCUUAUUUCUAUCGUUUAUUUAUCUUUUUAUGUUUUUUCGGUGUUUUGGGCAUUUUGUUUUUGGGCUUGUGUUUGGCCCAUGGCCUUUUUGUGGCCCAUUUCGAAU